GUCCCACGCGCGACAGUUUCGCCCCCCCCCUCGCCCCGCGCCGUCCACCUGCUUAGCAGAGCAUUGGCCACGGACCACGCGCGGGUCAGCAGCGACGCGCGGGGCAUCCGGGCCUCAGCCCACAGCCCCCAGCCCCGCUCGGCGCUCAACCGGAGGCGGCGCCUUCCAAAAGCUUUUGUUCGGAGUCUUCGAAACCUUUGGGGUCCGCAGACACCCGGGUUUCUCAGGAGGCUCUGCUUCUUAGACAAGCCCCUGGGCUCGCUCCCGCGCUGGCCAGCGCCAGCCCUUCCCCAUCCCGCAGCCAGGCUAGCCCGGCCAGCUUCCUCCGUCUGCCGAUUCACCGGCACUGGACCGCCGGCUCGCCUUCCUCAACACGCCUGGCGGCGGGUUCGCGUCUCCGGGUGCCCGCGCAGCCCUGAGGCGACCCCGGCCGCGCCGCCCCACGGCCUCCCUCACGCCCCGCGCGCCACGGCCGCCCCGCGCCGCCUCAGCCCCGAAUCGCGGCCGGGAGGCGGGAUGAGGCGACGCGCCGGCGGAUCAGCGAACGCGACCCCGGGCGGAUCUCCGCGCAGGGGGCGCCCGCACCUCCGUCCCUCCCUCCCGCACGCACGCGCGCUCGCUCGCUCGCUCUCCCUCUCACACUCCGGCUCCGUCUCUCCCGCUCUCUCCCUCAGAACCGCCCGCUCAGGAAGCCACAGCCACACCCAGAUCGCCCGCCCACCCACCUACGCAGACCCUGCUGACCCAACCCGGCCUCUGUCGAGGGAAGCCCAGUUCCACGCCAGGCCCCCAGCGCCCCGGCCUCGACGCCAGACGCCUACGCCCGCCCGCCCGGCCUCGCCCCGCCCCCUGGCGCCGGCCCCGGGAGCACGCGCCCAGCACGUGGUGGGCGGGGCCGGUCGCGCGCCGGAGCGCGAGCGCGCGUCCGCGAGCCCCGCCCUUGGCCUCGGAGCGCGCUGGAGCGCGCGAGGAGCUGAUCUGGGCAGGGGCUCGCAGGGGGCGCCCAUUGGCUUGGAGGCAGGUGUGUGCUGA
rnacentral:lncRNA from 1 species